rnacentral:rRNA from 1 species
GACGAACGCUGGCGGCGUGCUUAACACAUGCAAGUCGAGCGGUAAGGCCCUUUCGGGGGUACGACGAGCGGCGAACGGGUGAGUAACACGUGGGUGACCUGCCCUUAGCUCUGGGAUAAGCCUGGGAAACGUGGGUCUAAUACCGGAUAUGACUCCAUGACGCAUGUUGUGGGGUGGAAAGCCUUGUGCGGCUAGGGAUGGGCCCGCGGCCUAUCAGCUUGUUGGUGGGGUGAUGGCCUACCAAGGCGACGACGGGUAGCCGGCCUGAGGAGGGCGACCGGCCACAC